rnacentral:rRNA from 1 species
AUGCUGGGCGCCGCACGCGGCGGCUCCACGUGUCCACGCGCCCGCUGCUGCGUGGAAGGAAUAGAGGCCUCCCUGUGCAUACGCGCGACGUGGCCGCCCCGGACGGGCCAGAUGCUCCCCAUCCGGCCGCAGAGGCGCCGGUGCACGGUACCACCUGUCCGAGACCCUCGCGCCGCCUCCCGGGAGAGGAUAUUUAAAGCGGGGGCAGGGGCCCCGCCGUACUCUCGCUUGGCACCGCUCUCCGCCUUGCGCUCGAGAUCUCAUCCGAUCCUCACCCCACCCAUGCCGACUGAUCAUGGCAGCAGCAGCGACGGCGGCCACCAGGCGCAAUGUCGGCGGAGGGGCGCCAGCGUCGACGUCGAGCUCCGCGCCGCCAUGGCGCUGGCCGACAUGGCGGGGGCCGGGGCCGGGGCGGCCGCCGACCACGCGCUCCCGGCGCAGCACCUGCAGCACGCCGCCGCCCCAGCAGCUCAGGCGGCGAUGGAGCACGAGGACGAGGAGCUGGCGAGCACGAGGCUCAGCCUUGAGCUGGGCAACGUCGGCAUCCAGUCCUCCCCAUGUUCCAGCAGCUCCAGCGGCGCCGGGCAGCAACCGCCGCAGUCGUCCGCGGCCGUGACGGGAUACGGCCUCAGCAGACCGCGGCACAUGCUCACCGAGGCAGAGAAGGAGGCGAAGCGGCUGCGGCGCGUGCUCGCGAACCGGGAGUCCGCCCGGCAAACCAUCCUUCGCCGCCAGGCGAUCCGGGACGAACUGGCGAGAAAAGUCGCGGAUUUAGCGUCGCAGAACGAGAACAUGAAGAAGGAGAAGGACAUGGUGCUGGAACAGUACCUCACGCUCAAGGAGACGAACAAGCAGCUGAAACAACAGGUGGCCAAGACGACCAAGAAGAAGCCGUCGUCUACACCAGCGAUCACGCCCAUGGACAUCGCGCCGCCCGCACAGAGCGCGGAGGCCACCCCGCCGCAGACGCCGCCGCAGCCAAGCUUCCUGUACAGCGCGCCGCCGACGUCCAUGCCUGUGCCCUACGUCUGGGGCUCCUGGCCCCCGUGCGGUCCGGGGGUGUACGAGCAUGGUGGCAACCCGGCUGGCAUGGCGGGACACGCUCCGACGCCGCUCUGCGUCCCGCCGGCCUGCGCGUGGUAUUACCCCGUCGUCGCCGCUUCCACCGACCCCCGCGGCUCGCCGCCGGCCUACGUGCAGCCGUUCCAGGAGCCGACAGGCAGUGGCGGGACGGCCGGGGAGGACACCGACGACGACCCUUGCUCGCUGACCCUCGCCAUCGACGCUGCCGACAAGAAGAGCCCCGCCGCCGGUCCCAACGCUUACCAAAGUAGCAGCGGCGUGGUGGGGGCAGUGGGGCUGCAGGUCGCGCUUAGCGGCAGAGAGAAGGCGGCGACGGCGGCCGAGGCGAGGAAGAGGAGGAAGGAGCUCACCAAGCUGAAGCAAAUGCACGGCGGAAGCCGCCAUGGCGCUGGCGAGCACUGGUGA